GUUUUUAAGGUGUUAUAACAUAUUACAUUUUCGCUGUAAAGUUGAAGAAUUUCUUCUAAAAAUG
rnacentral:tRNA from 1 species